UUGAGAGCAGAGACCGUGUGGCCAGACCCAGAGAGCAGGGGUGUAUGGGAGGGGAAUGGUGGGAGCCGGAGUGGCUUGUAUCCAUGGAACUCCACUCCCAGACCUGCCAGUGACUCCAUGUCUCUGGGUCUCGGCUCCCCCACCAGAGCCGUGACCGUCUGAGAGCUUACAAUUUGACCCAUUCUUUGGCAGGGGGAUGGGCUCUGUGGGUUUCUAGGAGGGAGGCCAGGCUCUUCCUCCCUCCUGGGCCUUUGAGGAACUGGUCAUGCACCCGGGCAAUGGAGAGAGGACCACGAGGAGAGCUGGGCGGCUCUGGGAUAAAGGGACGUUUUGUAACCAGGACCCCCCAAAGUUUCCCUCUGGCCUUCCCAUCCCCGGAGAUGCAAGACCUCCCGACCAAGUGCCCAGUCAGUGCUGGUUCAUCGGUUGAUUUCCAAGAGUCUUGUUGAUUUCAACAAUCCAAGGAGGAAGACAAUGUAGACAGAAGGUUUCAGCCUGACGCCGCCAGGAAAACACUGUAUACAGUAUCAGCAACAUUGUGUCAUGGUUAAAUCCGACUGACUCGGUUGUCAGCCACAUAAUAACCUAAAACAAAGGACUCUGAAUGCACAUCGAAGCAUACUUUUUCCCCCCGACUUUAUUUUUCUUGUGAUUUUUUUUUCCUCCUUCUGAUCUGGAUCUGGUUUUUCUUUCACAAUUGUGAUUAAUAUGAAAAUGUUUUACAUGAUAGCAUAUGUAUAACCUAUGUCCAAAUACCUACGUUUUUUCAGAAGAGGGGAGGGAAGGGAGGGAGAGAAAAAAUUGGAAUUCAAAAAUCUGGUAAAAAUGAACGUUCAAAAUUUUCUUGACGUAACUGGAGAAAAAAUAAAACAUUAUUUAAUUUAAAAAACAA